AAGAUUGGACUGCUAGUGAAGAACAGAAUGACACUGCAGAAAGAGAACUGCAGCAGAAACAUCAAGGCUUCAAGUGUUUUAAAAACAAAGCACCAGAAAAAAACCCACUCGGGACCAAGGGAAAGCAAUAGAUGGAUGUUGUUUCUCAUAGCAAAAAUCUUAGCAAGGAGAACAAGGAACAGCUCUGUGACGUGAUGACGCUGAACGAGCAAAAGG